rnacentral:rRNA from 1 species
GGGUUGUGAGGUUAAGCGACUAAGCGUACACGGUGGAUGCCCUGGCAGUCAGAGGCGAUGAAGGGCGUGCUAAUCUGCGAUAAGCGCCGGUAAGGUGAUAUGAACCGUUAUAACCGGCGAUACCCGAAUGGGGAAACCCAGUGUGAUUCGUCACACUAUCAUUAACUGAAUCCAUAGGUUAAUGAGGCGAACCGGGGGAACUGAAACAUCUAAGUACCCCGAGGAAAAGAAAUCAACCGAGAUUCCCCCAGUAGCGGCGAGCGAACGGGGAGGAGCCCAGAGCCUGAAUCAGCAUGUGUGUUAGUGGAAGCGUCUGGAAAGGUGCGCGAUACAGGGUGACAGCCCCGUACACAAAAGCGCAUGUGCUGUGAGCUCGAUGAGUAGGGCGGGACACGUGGUAUCCUGUCUGAAUAUGGGGGGACCAUCCUCCAAGGCUAAAUACUCCUGACUGACCGAUAGUGAACCAGUACCGUGAGGGAAAGGCGAAAAGAACCCCGGCGAGGGGAGUGAAAAAGAACCUGAAACCGUGUACGUACAAGCAGUGGGAGCCCCACCACCAAAGCAUUCUCUGGUGUUGAAGGCCCUGCAAAGCAGCAUCGCGGUGGCGGAGCGUCGUUUGCGACGCCCAACACACAAAACAAGCGGUGAAUGCUUUGGGGUGGGGUGACUGCGUACCUUUUGUAUAAUGGGUCAGCGACUUAUAUUCUGUAGCAAGGUUAACCGAAUAGGGGAGCCGGAGGGAAACCGAGUCUUAAUUGGGCGUUAAGUUGCAGGGUAUAGACCCGAAACCCGGUGAUCUAGCCAUGGGCAGGUUGAAGGUUGGGUAACACUAACUGGAGGACCGAACCGACUAAUGUUGAAAAAUUAGCGGAUGACCUGUGGCUGGGGGUGAAAGGCCAAUCAAACCGGGAGAUAGCUGGUUCUCCCCGAAAGCUAUUUAGGUAGCGCCUCGUGAAUUCAUCUCCGGGGGUAGAGCACUGUUUCGGCUAGGGGGCCAUCCCGGCUUACCAACCCGAUGCAAACUGCGAAUACCGGAGAAUGUUAUCACGGGAGACACACGGCGGGUGCUAACGUCCGUCGUGAAGAGGGAAACAACCCAGACCGCCAGCUAAGGUCCCAAAGUCAUGGUUAAGUGGGAAACGAUGUGGGAAGGCCCAGACAGCCAGGAUGUUGGCUUAGAAGCAGCCAUCAUUUAAAGAAAGCGUAAUAGCUCACUGGUCGAGUCGGCCUGCGCGGAAGAUGUAACGGGGCUAAACCAUGCACCGAAGCUGCGGCAGCGACGCUGAUGCGUUGUUGGGUAGGGGAGCGUUCUGUAAGCCUGCGAAGGUGACCUGUGAGGGUUGCUGGAGGUAUCAGAAGUGCGAAUGCUGACAUAAGUAACGAUAAAGCGGGUGAAAAGCCCGCUCGCCGGAAGACCAAGGGUUCCUGUCCAACGUUAAUCGGGGCAGGGUGAGUCGACCCCUAAGGCGAGGCCGAAAGGCGUAGUCGAUGGGAAACGGGUUAAUAUUCCCGUACUUGGUGUUACUGCGAAGGGGGGACGGAGAAGGCUAUGUUGGCCGGGCGACGGUUGUCCCGGUUUAAGCGUGUAGGUGUGUGUUCCAGGUAAAUCCGGUUCACUUUAACACUGAGGCGUGACGACGAGGCACUACGGUGCUGAAGCAACAAAUGCCCUGCUUCCAGGAAAAGCCUCUAAGCAUCAGGUAACAUCAAAUCGUACCCCAAACCGACACAGGUGGUCAGGUAGAGAAUACCAAGGCGCUUGAGAGAACUCGGGUGAAGGAACUAGGCAAAAUGGUGCCGUAACUUCGGGAGAAGGCACGCUGACACGUAGGUGAAGUGAUUUACUCAUGGAGCUGAAGUCAGUCGAAGAUACCAGCUGGCUGCAACUGUUUAUUAAAAACACAGCACUGUGCAAACACGAAAGUGGACGUAUACGGUGUGACGCCUGCCCGGUGCCGGAAGGUUAAUUGAUGGGGUCAGCGCAAGCGAAGCUCCUGAUCGAAGCCCCGGUAAACGGCGGCCGUAACUAUAACGGUCCUAAGGUAGCGAAAUUCCUUGUCGGGUAAGUUCCGACCUGCACGAAUGGCGUAAUGAUGGCCAGGCUGUCUCCACCCGAGACUCAGUGAAAUUGAACUCGCUGUGAAGAUGCAGUGUACCCGCGGCAAGACGGAAAGACCCCGUGAACCUUUACUAUAGCUUGACACUGAACAUUGAGCCUUGAUGUGUAGGAUAGGUGGGAGGCUUUGAAGUGUGGACGCCAGUCUGCAUGGAGCCGACCUUGAAAUACCACCCUUUAAUGUUUGAUGUUCUAACGUGGACCCGUAAUCCGGGUUGCGGACAGUGUCUGGUGGGUAGUUUGACUGGGGCGGUCUCCUCCUAAAGAGUAACGGAGGAGCACGAAGGUUGGCUAAUCCUGGUCGGACAUCAGGAGGUUAGUGCAAUGGCAUAAGCCAGCUUGACUGCGAGCGUGACGGCGCGAGCAGGUGCGAAAGCAGGUCAUAGUGAUCCGGUGGUUCUGAAUGGAAGGGCCAUCGCUCAACGGAUAAAAGGUACUCCGGGGAUAACAGGCUGAUACCGCCCAAGAGUUCAUAUCGACGGCGGUGUUUGGCACCUCGAUGUCGGCUCAUCACAUCCUGGGGCUGAAGUAGGUCCCAAGGGUAUGGCUGUUCGCCAUUUAAAGUGGUACGCGAGCUGGGUUUAGAACGUCGUGAGACAGUUCGGUCCCUAUCUGCCGUGGGCGCUGGAGAACUGAGGGGGGCUGCUCCUAGUACGAGAGGACCGGAGUGGACGCAUCACUGGUGUUCGGGUUGUCAUGCCAAUGGCACUGCCCGGUAGCUAAAUGCGGAAGAGAUAAGUGCUGAAAGCAUCUAAGCACGAAACUUGCCCCGAGAUGAGUUCUCCCUGAGACUUUAGGUCUCCUGAAGGAACGUUGAAGACGACGACGUUGAUAGGCCGGGUGUGUAAGCGCAGCGAUGCGUUGAGCUAACCGGUACUAAUGAACCGUGAGGCUUAACCUUACAACGCCGAAG